CACACAAACCCUAAUUUCAUUUUCAAUUAGCUUCAUCUCUGCCGUUUCUUUUCUACCUCUCUAUUACGUUUGUGAAUCAGUGGUAAUGGUACACACAAUUGUUGAUCGCUUUAAUGACUGAACCCUAAAUCUCCUAAGAUCGAUUGUUGUGUAUCUUCCUGUAUUCACAUCUUUUGUUCAUAGUUUUCGAUCAACGAAACAGAUUCUGGGCUCGGAUUUAAUGGCGUCUUGAGUUACUCUUCUUUGUUGGAAAAGUGCACAUAUCCGUGUUAUCUGGUUUAAUUUCGAUUUUGAAGUGAAGAGCUAUGCAAAUCGGAAUCCACUUCCAAGUAAUCUUCUUCCUGUGAUCUUUUGUAUAAUGGGUUUAAUUUGUUUUAUGUCAUUUUCUUUGGUUUUAGGGUUUAUAAAUCAAUCAGCAUUUGAAGCUUCAUCCGAGCAUUUUUGCAAUGAAGAGUUAUGCAUGUCUUGAAGUUGGAAAUGUGACUUCUGAUCAACUAUUAAAAUAAAUAGGUCGACUAAUAAUCUUUGCAACCUUUGCUGUGAGUAUAUUGGAUUUUUGUUUACUUUAGAGUACAAGUUCCAUAGCCUUUAUACGACUGGUCUACUGGUAGUCAUUUUCUCUUUUGGUAUCCUCAUUACUUCAACGAGGACUGGAUGCAUUAGGUUUUGGUGUUAUAGUACAGUUUAUGUGCAGCUAUACACUCCAAAACGCCCAUCGGUUGAUGUUGCUGAGGUGUUUUAUGGCUUAUGAAUGUUGGUACCAUUCUAUGUGCAUCUUAGUGGUCUGCCUGGAGGCCGAAGCAGCUAUUGAGCUGGACAAACUAUUAAAGGAUGCUUCUGAUGAAUAUAUGAGUACGGAGGUUUCUUAUUUCAGUGGUGUCUUUGAGAUUACCAACACAUCAGUGAUUGUGUUUAUUGUGGUUUCAUCAUGUUUCUUAGUUUGGCUUUACAAAAAAAUGUCAUACGUGUUCAUUGAGGUUUUGGUUGUCCUAUUCGCCAUUGGUGGGGGCGAGGUAUGUACUCAUUCGCAUAAGAAAAAAAUUAUUUUCUUUGAUUUUGACUUUAAUAAAUUGAUGAGCUCUAUUUUCUUUUUUUCUUUCUCGGGGUCUGCAAACGUGCUUGGUGGCUUUAUUAGCAUGGUAUAUAUGUAAUACAUAUCAGCGGUGGAUUAGAAUACAAUUUAUCUAUUACUUCAUCUAGAAAUUUCAAUAAAUACAGUUUCAGAUCGUUUGAGAAUGUUGCAAAGUCAUUUAUCAAAAUCCCCUUUUUAGGAGGGUGUUGCUUUGAUAAUCACAGUAAUCCAGAUAAUUCAAGUUCCUAAUCUCAAGAUUCAGUAGACAGCAGUUGGUUGCCUGCAGCAAUAGAUAGUUUAAUGUCGUUGGAGGCUGGGAAGAUCUGGUAGUUUCAAGGCACUAUUGGGAGCUAUUAUUUUCUCACAAUGACACAAAAAAGAUUAUAUUAUAUUGUUAUGCAUUAGCAACUUCAAGUCUGGGACCACCAGUUGUGAAAGUUAGCUUAUUAAGUAGUGCUAUAAAGUUGUUAAUUUUAUUUUUCUUUCGUUGGAAAAGUCCAUAACUUUUCAUUUUG